rnacentral:lncRNA from 1 species
AUAGUAGAGUCUCAGUUUCAGUGGGACUCUUGCACAGAGUCCUAGUCCAAGUAGGACUCUUCACCGGAGUCACAAUCCAAUUAGACUCUUCAGCCAUCUGAUCUGAUCAAGUCUUCUAAUACAUGUCACCCCAUAUGUUUGAACCUAAGAUGGUAGCACAAAAAUAACUUUCUAUACUAAUCGAUAUAACCAUCUAGCAAUGGUGACCCA